GAAAGGUGGUCUAAUACUUCAUAAUAUCCAUCUCGUAUGGAUUAAAGCUUUAUGCGCUUUGGGAGGGGCCUGCGUAACAUUAGCUUGUUGGUGAGGUAAAAGCUCACCAAGGCUUCGAUGUUUAACUGGUUCGAGAGGAUGACCAGUCACACUGGGACUGAGAUACGGCCCAGACUCCUACGGGAGGCAGCAGUAAGGAAUCUUCCACAAUGGGGGCAACCCUGAUGGAGCAAUACCGCGUGCAGGAUGAAGCGUUUCGGCGUGUAACCGCUUUUAUCACCGAAGAUUAUGACUGUAGGUGAAGAAUAAGGACCGGCUAACUACGUG
rnacentral:rRNA from 1 species